ACAGCAGUAGCCGCGGUAAUACGUAGGUGGCAAGCGUUGUCCGGAAUUAUUGGGCGUAAAGGGCUCGCAGGCGGUUUCUUAAGUCUGAUGUGAAAGCCCCCGGCUCAACCGGGGAGGGUCAUUGGAAACUGGGAAACUUGAGUGCAGAAGAGGAGAGUGGAAUUCCACGUGUAGCGGUGAAAUGCGUAGAGAUGUGGAGGAACACCAGUGGCGAAGGCGACUCUCUGGUCUGUAACUGACGCUGAGGAGCGAAAGCGUGGGGAGCGAACAGGAUUAGAGACCCCAGUAGUCCCUGUCUCUUAUAA
rnacentral:rRNA from 1 species